AGGAUCAUUAAUGAGUUGUGAUGGGGUUUGAUGCUGGCAGCCAAUUUUUGGAUGCAUGUGCUUGCCCUAACAAUCAUCUUCCAAACACCUGUGCACAUUUUUGAGGGAGUUUUGAGUUUNUUGCCAUUUUGGUGAUUUUCUUGCAUUCCCUUAAAUCAUUAUACNCUUUUAACAAUAAUGAACGUGCUCUGUGCCGCAAGGCCAUUAAUAUAAUACAACUUUUAACAACGGAUCUCUUGGCUCUCGCAUCGAUGAAGAACGCAGCGAAAUGCGAUAAGUAAUGUGAAUUGCAGAAUUCAGUGAAUCAUCGAAUCUUUGAACGCACCUUGCGCUCCCUGGUAUUCCGGGGAGCACGCCUGUUCGAGUGUCGUGAAAUUUCUCAAGCUUGGAUGGCUUUUUGUCUGUCCUUAGCCUUGGUUGUUGGGCUUUGCCGUGUCCUUUGUUGGGACGGCUGGCCUUAAAAGCAUUAGCUGAUCCUUGUGUGNCACUGGUUCUACUCAGCGUGAUAACAGUCUGAUCGCUGAGGACAUCUUUUGGGAUGGCCAGUUCUCAUUUGGGUUGCUUCUAAACUUGGUUUUGCAGAUUCUUGAAUCUGUGUUCCACUUUUCAGCUUUGACCUCGA
rnacentral:rRNA from 1 species